rfam:Cupriavidus basilensis strain 4G11 chromosome main, complete sequence.
UUGCAAUCCGCUAACCGGUCAAGCCGUGUCGCGGAAGGUUGAUGAACCCGCUUUAUUCCGGCAUUCCCGGAUAAUAGUGAGCG